CAUGCCAUCAAAAUCAUUGAUUCCGAAAGCAUGAAUUACUUUAACUUUAUGUAUAGCAUUUUCACUACUUUACUUUCGUUUCAGACUUCAGUACGAUAACUACUCUGUGUUUUCAGUAUUAAACGCCGGUCCGUAUUUUUUUAAUAAAUUCUUUAACUAAUUGUUAUUAAAUUUAUUAGAUGUCAUGAUUCGAGAAGAUGAUCCUCAGUUCCGAAUAACUCCGUUGCAGCAGAUGGCAUCAGCUUGCACUGGUGCCCUUAUUACAUCCUUAUUCAUGACACCGUUGGAUGUGGUGAAAAUUAGACUGCAGGCUCAACAAAAAGCUCUACUCUCAAAUAAAUGUUAUUUAUAUUGCAAUGGACUAAUGGAACAUCUGUGCCCUUGUGGGGAAACUGCAUGGAUACCAAGACGAGUACACUUUAAUGGUACAAUGGAUGCUUUUUACAAAAUAGCUAAAUUAGAAGGAGUUCCAGCAUUAUGGUCUGGUUUAAGUCCAACUCUUGUGUUGGCUGUUCCUUGUACAGUUAUAUAUUUUGUAUGCAAUGAACAAUUGAGGUAUAAUAUGAAAACUAAAUACAACAAGAUCACUGGUGACAUGUCGCAACCACUCUGGAUUCCACUAAUAGCAGGAGCAACUGCCAGGACAACUGCAGUUACUAUUGUUAGUCCUUUGGAAUUAAUAAGGACUAAAAUGCAGUCAAAGAGGUUGUCAUAUGCAGAAAUUAAGUCUGCAUUACUUCAAGUAAUUAAAUAUGAAGGCUUUAAGGGACUGUUUCGUGGAUUGGGAUCUACCCUACUAAGAGACGUCCCCUUUUCAGGAAUUUAUUGGACAACAUUAGAAACGACAAAAAGAACAUUCAGCUCACCUGAUACGGAGAAAAAUAUAUUUUUAUUUAAUUUCUUUUGUGGAUCUAUUGCUGGCAGCAUUGCCGCGCUUGUAACUUUACCAUUCGAUGUUGUAAAGACACAUCAACAAAUUGAAUUGGGCGAGAAAGAGAUUUAUACAGAUGGUAAAGUUCAACAAAGGGCCUCAAAUAUGAAAAAUAUUGUUAGAAAUAUAUACAAAAUUCAUGGAUUCCAAGGUCUAUUCACUGGAUUAUUACCCAGAAUAUUUAAAGUAGCACCAGCAUGUGCUAUAAUGAUUGCAACAUUUGAAUAUGGAAAACAAUUCUUUCAAAAGUAUAAUACACAGCAAUACAAAGAGAAUAUGCAAAGACAAGGCAUUGAAAUAGACAUAAUUAAAAGUGAUAAAUAAAUUGAUCAAAAUUUACUGUUACUGAAAAAGCCAAUCAUCCACUGUCGAACAUAAGCCUCCUCCAUAGACUGGCACAAGAAAUUCUCAUGAGACAGUAUCAAUCUAUGCUCCACGACACUAAGAUCGUCGCUGCAUUAAGUGGAAGAAGGAAGAAGCAUCAAGAAAUACUUUUGAUCAACAAAUCUAGGGAUUAUUCUUAGAAUUCUAAUAAAGACAUAAUUAGUAAAUGCUACGAAAUUCGAAUAUAUAACAUUGCUACCAUAUUUUAUGUGAUAUAACUGUGUCAGUUAUGUACUUUAGUUUACCUGUUAUAAAUUUAUUCUUUUAUGGAAGUAUAGGAGGCAGUCUGUCACAACACAAGUUAUAAGGAUGAUUCUUUUUUUAUUAUAUAUGUACUAAAUAUAAUUAUAUUAUUAGUUUCUUAUAGACACAUAAUUUAUUAUAACAAAUAUUAAUAUUAAUAGUCUUUGUUCAACAUUGUAUAAAUAUUUACAGUGCCUAGAUAAAUUACUGCA